rnacentral:tRNA from 1 species
UACAUUUUAGUAUAAGAGGUAUAUAGACUUUUGAUGUCUAAGGAAAUAGUUUAAUUCUAUUAAAUGUAG